GUCAGGGUCGCUCACGGAGGAUGUGUGUGUCAUAUAAAUUCUCAGUGGUGCUUUUCUAAGAGGUUAACGUAACCAGUGAGAUGUAGAUUUUUUUUGAGCAUUUGCUAACUUCAGGUAACGUUAAUGUGAAAACUUUAACAAAUCUGUUUGAUAUAAAGUCUGCUUUGUAUAGUUAGCCUAAUUUAUUACCUUAGGGCGACCAAAUACGUUUUCCUUGAAAUUAUUAAAUAUGCUAUUUAUAUAUAUGUGUCUAUAUUUAUGUCGGCCGGCAAAUCUUGUGUGUAUUUUGGCACAGGGUGCACAAAUGCUCCUUAUCAGUGCGGUGACACUUGAACAAAUGAACUGAUCAUGCGCGACACUGACCAAUAAACAAACGAGUUGUUUUAUUGCGUCUAUGCCUUGAAUCUUAUCAUCAGUUGUAGUGAUGGGAAGUUCGGAUCAUUUUACCGAAUCGGACUUUUGAGUCUCGUUCAGCAAAAUGAACGAAUCUUUUUUCGAGUCAUUUCAAAUGAACGAACAACCAGAAGGUUCAGGAAGAAAAAAACAAAGUGCUUGCAGUCUGUUUCACAUUAGGAGGCAUUUUGCUGCAUAAUCGAUCCACCACAAACCAUAUGCAACUAUGGAAGCUCAACUUCCAUUAAAUGGACUGAAAACGCUCAAGUAACGUUAUAGGUCUCAAAACGCUUGCUCUGCGCCAGUGGAUACACACCAUAGACAGUAAAAGAAAUAUGUGCAUGUCACAGACUGUCUGGGCAUGCACUUCCGCGUUUCAGAGAUCCGCCUUUUACUUUCCGUCAACAUUACAUUAAUUAACGUUUAGAAAAUUUAUUUUUGACAUUUGUGAAUCAGUUCAGAAUCGUCUGCUUAUGCAUUGCGAUACAUUUAAGAAUCACAUUUUUAUCCCACCCCUACUAAAUAUAGAGACACUUUGACAAGUGGGCACUGGAUGCUGAGUAUUGAAGGCGAGGUGGUGUGUGAGGGCACUCAGCCCAGUUUCCUGUCCGGCCUUGCCACUCUGUUUGCUGCUUAUUACUAGUUUAAUCUUGAGUAUCAGGAGGAAGCAAUGUGUACCUUGGAGUUCAUUCAAAGGUGCUUUGUGGGCAUAAAUCCAGAGAGAGGAUCCAAAGCCAAGGGAAAAGUGCCAUCGAAAUAAAAACAGGACAAGUGAUACAGAAGAAAAUGUGUGGCAGUCAACCCACAUGUUGCCACUCUUCUGUGCAAAUUCCAAUGGAAUUUCUGAAAUUCACACUUUGAAUCCUGGGAUGGAACUUCAUCUGGAGCAUAAUUGUUAUUUGGUUGAUUUUUAUCUGUUUGAUGGAAAGUUUGUAUGACUUCUGCAAGUGCGCGGCUCCUUCCGGUCAGUCAUGCAUCACUUUUUUUUGUAUGACUUGUUUGGCAAUAUUGGUCUAUUCCUUAAUGAUGAUAGCUAUCUGAAAAUGUCUUUGUGGUUUUUAAAGGAUUAGUUCACCCAAAAAUGAAAAUUAAGUCAAUAAUUACUUAUGUCGUUUCACACCCGUAAGAUCUUCGUUCAUCCUCACAACACAUAAUAAGAUGUGGCUCAGUGAAGCGUGCAUUUCUAGCAAGAUCAUUUCUUUUUUUCAAUGCCCAGAAAGCCUCUAAAACAUUUAAAACAAUUCAUGUGACUACAGUUGUUCAACCUAAAUAUUAUAAAGCGACGAGAAUACUUUUUUUGCCAACACCCC